rnacentral:rRNA from 1 species
AUUGAACGCUGGCGGCAUGCCUUACACAUGCAAGUCGAACGGCAGCACGGGGCAACCUGGUGGCGAGUGGCGAACGGGUGAGUAAUGCAUCGGAACGUGCCAUUGAGUGGGGGAUAACGUAGCGAAAGUUGCGCUAAUACCGCAUAUUCUGUGAGCAGGAAAGCAGGGGACCGCAAGGCCUUGCGCUCUUUGAGCGGCCGAUGUCAGAUUAGCUAGUUGGUGAGGUAACGGCUUACCAAGGCGACGAUCUGUAGCGGGUCUGAGAGGAUGAUCCGCCACACUGGAACUGAGACACGGUCCAGACUCCUACGGGAGGCAGCAGUGGGGAAUUUUGGACAAUGGGCGCAAGCCUGAUCCAGCCAUGCCGCGUGAGUGAAGAAG